ensembl:lncRNA
CCGGGGUUGGGGCGGCGCUCGGAGCUGCCCCGUCCGCCCGCUGCGCUCCGGGCUGUCGCUGCGGCUCUGCGGCUCGGAGUGUGGCGGAAGGCGCACGGCACAGCAAGUUUUAUCAGCUGUUGUUUCUGCACGUCCUGAGCAAUAACGGCGCUGUUGGGCCCCUCCCUACACUGGGUGCAGCUAAGAAAAUGGGAUUGGUGUAUGAAAUCUCAAGUUCUAUAAAGUCACUUUUGGCUGUACUAUUACUUCGCCGAUGCUUGUGAAGAACACACAGUUUGGAAACUACUUACUUCUGUGAUUAUUUUGGAUCGAGUCAAGGCAAAGUACCGAUACAGACACAUCCAGUUUCCAAACAGAAUCAUUCAGAAGCUUUCAAGGAUCACCUGCAGAUUCCCUCCCACGGCAACAGAAGACCAAAGCCCCACAUCUGGGACACGGCUGUUCAAACUGCACACAUGGUCCCAAAUGGCAAUGGUGACUGAUUUGGAAAUGUCAGCUGCAUUAGAAAAACCCCUUCUGACUUGCAAAGUGCAGAGCUGAGUGGUACCUGCUUGAACAGAAUUAAUAUUACGUAGUCCUCUCCCUCCACAAAUAAUUUCCUGAAUAAGAAAAUGUUCAGUCUGCUCCAACGUGUCACCUCAUUCACAAAUCAUAGAAUGGCCUGGCUUGAAAAGGACCACAAUUACGAUCUUGUUCCAACCCCCUGCUAUGUGCAGGGUCGCCAACCAGCAGACC